rnacentral:lncRNA from 1 species
AACACAAUUAGAUUUGCUUCUUUUGCCCCAGAACAAAGCGGGUUUGUUGAUGUACUGAAUCGGACACAUUACUUUCUAGCUGAACACUCAGCUUCAUCCACUCCAGGACAGCUGAGCGUCUGGGGCUUCAGAAGCUGAUGGCAUAGUUAUGAGAGGGGUGAAGACUGCGACUGCAUUUCCAACAGACCCUGAGGACAAUUGGGAAGAAUGCGCUGAAUAUUUUUGAGCAAUUUCUAUAUGAUAAGCAGUUUUUAGGCAAGGGGGAUGAGUCCAUAAGAUGACACUGGAAAAGGGGAUUGGCUUGAGUGCACCAGGGGGCCAGAGACAUGGGUCAUCCCUGGUGACGGGAGUUGGAAUGCUCCCCUGAGAUGGAGACUGGAAGUACAAGAAAGAAGAAAGUUGUUGUGAGGGCAAGUAUAGGUUGCACUGAUCCUGACCUUUUGGCCUGAGGAUGGAAGUCUUCAGUAUCUGUACAACUUUACUCCCAAGAGCUGGUGUAGAAUGAGUUCCUCUGGCCAUGGGAGGAUCGCAGAGGGGCACCUGCCACCAGCAGCCCAGCCUCAGCACUUUUCUCUUCAGCGUCUUCUUCAAGGUAUUUCCAGUUGCCCGCCCUGAACUGUUUCAGAAUGAGGAGGACACCUGGAGGAAUCUACACGUGCAUAGACCAAUUUGCAAAAGAACCUGUGAGCCAACGUAGGUUGUGAGAUGCAUAUCCCACAUCCAGUUCAGCCCAGUAACUUGGGAAAUGGGGGAGAGGUAGCUCUGAAGACCAGACUUAGUACAUUUUUACCCCCAUCCAUGCUUGCAACUGUAAGUUGAUCUUAAAUUAGUACUUUUAACCAAGUCAACCUCAAUCACUUGAAUAGGAUACCCAGCUGAAAAACUUGGGGUCACUGAAUCAAUCUCUUAUCUGUAAGAGAUAAUGAUGCCCACCCAAUGGGGUUCUGAAAAAUAUGUAAUGCCUGACAUGUAGUGUAUACUCACUGAAUGUGGCUUUUAACCACAACCUUUAUAUUUUUGCCGAGUAUCACCUUUCUGCAGCAACCGUGAGAACCUCGCGCUAAGCUUGUCUUAGAUUGCUCAUUCCUUUCCUAUAUUUAGACACCAAACUCCAUUCAUUUUCCCCUUGAAAUGUUCAUUCCCAUGAUCAAGAUUUUGCUUAAACACAUUUUGUUUUCAUGUCCAGAUUAUUACCUCAGCUGGAAGAAUUAAUAAGCAACACGUUCACCCAAGAAGUAUUUACUGAGCACCUACUAUGUGCAUUAUUUUCUGGUGUUGGGGCUAGGGGGCAAACGACUCUGACAAGUCUCUGUUCUCAAGGCUGGAGUGCAGCGGCGCGAUCUCGGCUCACUGCAAGCUCCGCCUCCCGGGUUCACGCCAUUCUCCUGCCUCAGCCUCCCGAGUAGCUGGGACUACAGGCGCCCGCAACCACGCCCGGCUAAUUUUUUGUAUUUUUAGUAGAGAUGGGGUUUCACCAUGUUAGUCAGGAUGGUCUCGAUUUCCUGACCUUGUGAUCCGCCCGCCCCCGCCUCCCAAAGUGCUGGGAUUACAGGCGUGAGCCACCGCGCCCGGCCGUAGUUUACAUUUUCUAAAGCGUACUCUGCCAGCCAAGUGGCAAACAGACUUGGGCCUCUUAAGAGUGGAAGCAGGAGGAAACCCGAAGAUCCUGGAGAGAGACUGGUGGCUGGUACCAGUGGAGAGGGAGCAAAAAGGAAAAUACAGGAUACAAUUUCAGGAAAAAUUUCAUACCAAUUUCCUGAGGUAAUUUCUGAACUCGAACAUUUUCAGUGUCACCACAUUGUGUUUCCUGCUGAAUCAAGUCUACAUCACUUCGGUUUUUAAAGCCUUCCACGAUCCUUCCCUGAACACUGUAGUUUUCACUGAUGGUUGGCUGUUUCAAACUCCCAUAUGAUCCAUACUGUAUCAUUAAUAAGCAAGCAAGGAAUAACACACCCUCUGCUAUUCUGUGCAGUGUUUCAGGUUUUUAGUUUUCUCUUUCAAGAUAGAAAAUCCCUUUAGAGUAGGAACUCGGCUGGCACUUUCUUUCACAUCCUGCAUAGCACUUAGCAAAGUUCUGUACACAGGGCACAUGUGGAAAUUGCUUAUUGAUUGAUUAAAAGCAUAUAUCACUGGCAUUUGUAUCUUCAGUAUUUCUCUUGUAUGAAGAAGGGUGAUUAUCUGUCAAUAUUCAUUGCAUCAUUGAACCAAUGUACAAUGCAUUAAUCAUCACUGAAGAUAACCAGAUGAGGCUUUAUUGUAAUCUCCUUCUAUUUUGCUGAGAUAAUUUCACUUGCUUUAGAGUUUAUGAGGCCAUAAGUGGCUCCCAUCUGUUGAUGAACAUAUUUCUAAGAGUCAUUUAGUCUCAAGUAUGGAAUACUUGAGGGGAAGUUAAAUUGUAACUUUUAUAUUAAGUGUCAUCUUAGUAACAGAACCAAAAUUGGAAGCAUGUGUUCAAUUUUGGUUUUUCAUUUUCAAAGCUUUAGGUCAGGCAAAGAAUUAAUUUCAUUUGUUUACAAAGUAGAUUAUGCCUAAUAAAAUCUAUUUUGUUUAUGGUCACAUUUUAAUCAAUCCACUGCUUUAGAAAAUGAGAGAAUUCUGAUUGGCUAAUCAUUCAACAUAGUAAAUUACAUUAUUCCACAUCCACAGAACACUGGCCUAAUUGCAUUAUCCAGUAAUGAUAAAAAUAUUCCUUUUAAUACAUUUUGAGCAAGGCAUAUACCAGUGAUGAAACAGGGAAGAAUCUUGUUUAUUCCAUCCUUGUUUGAUGAUCGACCACAGAAUAUAACAUAACACUUCUGUGUAUAAGAAUUUUUUCAACAUUAAGGAUAAUAAGGACAAGGUAGUUUUCACUGGAUCCUUACUGGUACUCUGAAUUUUCACUAUUUGUCCGCAUUUCUUCUCCUUCCCGGAAAUUUGUUUUCUGCGAAAAACAAGUGCUACUUUGUCAAAUAAAGCUUAAAUAAAAUUGGUUUCAAUUUAUGCAUAAUAAAAGGAAUGCCUAGUGACUUUCUAUCUCUAGUGGGAGGUAGAAAACUCUCCAGGGUGACUUUAUUCACUCCAGAGGUUCUGGUGAGCACCAAGGAACAUUACCUCUGCAAAAUGCAGACAUACGCAAAAGGAUGCAUCAAAUUUAAGAGAAGUCCGUAGAUAGAUAUCUGAGGGAUCUGCCUUAGGGGAUGUAGACCAUAUAUACAACACGAAUUCCACAGAAUUAGCCUGGUAUUCACGAUCACUGUUUCUUAAAACAUAACUCUUUUAUGUUACCAAGCAACUUUUAUCUGAGAUGAUGACUACUCGAAUACUUCUUUUGCAUAUCGCCAGAAAAUAUCAAGUUUUCAUUUGAGUCCUUAAUUCAAGUUCUUUAUCACAAGAAGAAAGAAUAGCAUGGAUAAAAUGGUUUAAAGGUAGCCAAAAAAAAAACAAAACAUUGUAUUUUAGAAUGCAUAUUCAAACAUAUUCCAAAAAAUACUGUAUUUUAGAAUGCAUAUUCAAACAUGAUGACAAGUGGGCUCUGUGGCUCAUAUUGACAAUAGCUUUAACCUAUGAAGUGAGUGUCUUUCUAUACGGAGGUGAUGAGUUACUCAAUACUGAACGGCUCUACUAAAUUGUGCUUUUGGCUAUUAGAACUUGGC